UUAAGCGACUAAGCGUACACGGUGGAUGCCCUGGCAGUCAGAGGCGAUGAAGGACGUGCUAAUCUGCGAAAAGCGCCGGCGAGGUGAUAUGAACCUUUGACCCGGCGAUGUCCGAAUGGGGAAACCCAGUGCAAUUCGUUGCACUAUCGUUAACUGAAUACAUAGGUUAACGAGGCGAACCGGGGGAACUGAAACAUCUAAGUACCCCGAGGAAAAGAAAUCAACCGAGAUUCCCCCAGUAGCGGCGAGCGAACGGGGAGCAGCCCAGAGUCUGAAUCAGCUUGUGUGUUAGUGGAAGCGUCUGGAAAGUCGCACGGUACAGGGUGACAGUCCCGUACACGAAAGCACACAGGUUGUGAACUCGAAGAGUAGGGCGGGACACGUGGUAUCCUGUCUGAAUAUGGGGGGACCAUCCUCCAAGGCUAAAUACUCCUGACUGACCGAUAGUGAACCAGUACCGUGAGGGAAAGGCGAAAAGAACCCCGGCGAGGGGAGUGAAAAAGAACCUGAAACCGUGUACGUACAAGCAGUGGGAGCACCUUCGUGGUGUGACUGCGUACCUUUUGUAUAAUGGGUCAGCGACUUAUAUUCUGUAGCAAGGUUAACCGUAUAGGGGAGCCGAAGGGAAACCGAGUCUUAACUGGGCGUUAAGUUGCAGGGUAUAGACCCGAAACCCGGUGAUCUAGCCAUGGGCAGGUUGAAGGUUGGGUAACACUAACUGGAGGACCGAACCGACUAAUGUUGAAAAAUUAGCGGAUGACUUGUGGCUGGGGGUGAAAGGCCAAUCAAACCGGGAGAUAGCUGGUUCUCCCCGAAAGCUAUUUAGGUAGCGCCUCGUGAACUCAUCUUCGGGGGUAGAGCACUGUUUCGGCUAGGGGGCCAUCCCGGCUUACCAACCCGAUGCAAACUACGAAUACCGAAGAAUGUUAUCACGGGAGACACACGGCGGGUGCUAACGUCCGUCGUGAAGAGGGAAACAACCCAGACCGCCAGCUAAGGUCCCAAAGUCAUGGUUAAGUGGGAAACGAUGUGGGAAGGCACAGACAGCCAGGAUGUUGGCUUAGAAGCAGCCAUCAUUUAAAGAAAGCGUAAUAGCUCACUGGUCGAGUCGGCCUGCGCGGAAGAUGUAACGGGGCUAAACCAUGCACCGAAGCUGCGGCAGCGACGCUUAUGCGUUGUUGGGUAGGGGAGCGUUCUGUAAGCCGUUGAAGGUGUCCUGUGAGGGGUGCUGGAGGUAUCAGAAGUGCGAAUGCUGACAUAAGUAACGAUAAAGCGGGUGAAAAGCCCGCUCGCCGGAAGACCAAGGGUUCCUGUCCAACGUUAAUCGGGGCAGGGUGAGUCGACCCCUAAGGCGAGGCCGAAAGGCGUAGUCGAUGGGAAACAGGUUAAUAUUCCUGUACUUGGUGUUACUGCGAAGGGGGGACGGAGAAGGCUAUGUUAGCCGGGCGACGGUUGUCCCGGUUUAAGCAUGUAGGCGGAGGUUCCAGGUAAAUCCGGUACCUUUUUAACGCUGAGGUGUGAUGACGAGGCACUACGGUGCUGAAGUAACAAAUGCCCUGCUUCCAGGAAAAGCCUCUAAGCAUCAGGUAACAUCAAAUCGUACCCCAAACCGACACAGGUGGUCAGGUAGAGAAUACCAAGGCGCUUGAGAGAACUCGGGUGAAGGAACUAGGCAAAAUGGUGCCGUAACUUCGGGAGAAGGCACGCUGAUAUGUAGGUGAAGCCCCUGCGGGUGGAGCUGAAAUCAGUCGAAGAUACCAGCUGGCUGCAACUGUUUAUUAAAAACACAGCACUGUGCAAACACGAAAGUGGACGUAUACGGUGUGACGCCUGCCCGGUGCCGGAAGGUUAAUUGAUGGGGUUAGCGGCAACGCGAAGCUCUUGAUCGAAGCCCCGGUAAACGGCGGCCGUAACUAUAACGGUCCUAAGGUAGCGAAAUUCCUUGUCGGGUAAGUUCCGACCUGCACGAAUGGCGUAAUGAUGGCCAGGCUGUCUCCACCCGAGACUCAGUGAAAUUGAACUCGCUGUGAAGAUGCAGUGUACCCGCGGCAAGACGGAAAGACCCCGUGAACCUUUACUAUAGCUUGACACUGAACACUGGUCCUUGAUGUGUAGGAUAGGUGGGAGGCUUUGAAGCGUGGACGCCAGUCUGCGUGGAGCCAACCUUGAAAUACCACCCUUUAAUGGCUGGUGUUCUAACGUAGACCCGUGAUCCGGGUUGCGGACAGUGUCUGGUGGGUAGUUUGACUGGGGCGGUCUCCUCCCAAAGAGUAACGGAGGAGCACGAAGGUUAGCUAAUCCUGGUCGGACAUCAGGAGGUUAGUGCAAUGGCAUAAGCUAGCUUGACUGCGAGAGUGACGGCUCGAGCAGGUGCGAAAGCAGGUCAUAGUGAUCCGGUGGUUCUGAAUGGAAGGGCCAUCGCUCAACGGAUAAAAGGUACUCCGGGGAUAACAGGCUGAUACCGCCCAAGAGUUCAUAUCGACGGCGGUGUUUGGCACCUCGAUGUCGGCUCAUCACAUCCUGGGGCUGAAGUAGGUCCCAAGGGUAUGGCUGUUCGCCAUUUAAAGUGGUACGCGAGCUGGGUUUAGAACGUCGUGAGACAGUUCGGUCCCUAUCUGCCGUGGGCGCUGGAGAAUUGAGGGGGGCUGCUCCUAGUACGAGAGGACCGGAGUGGACGCAUCACUGGUGUUCGGGUUGUCAUGCCAAUGGCACUGCCCGGUAGCUAAAUGCGGAAAAGAUAAGUGCUGAAAGCAUCUAAGCACGAAACUUGCCCCGAGAUGAGUUCUCCCUGAC
rnacentral:rRNA from 1 species